AUCAGUGAUGAAAACUGUGUAUAGGAAGUGCCGUCUGAUGCGACAACUGACGAUGUUUCUCACACACUUGUCUGAGC
ensembl:snoRNA